AGAGUUUGCUCCUGGCUCAGAACGAACGCUGGCGGCAUGCUUAACACAUGCAAGUCGAACGGUCAUUGCAAUGGAGUUUACUUUAUUUAGUGAUAGUGGCAAACGGGUGAGUAACGCGUGGGAAUAUACCCCUUAGUCCGGAAUAACGUUUGGAAACGAACGCUAAUACCGAAUAAUCCGGAGACGGAAAAGAUUUAUCGCUAAGGGAAUGGCCCGCGUUGGAUUACGGUAGUUGGUGGGGUAAAGGCCUACCAAGCCUAUGAUCUAUAGCUGGUCUGAGAGGACGAUCAGCCACACUGGGACUGAGACACGGCCCAGACUUCUACGGAAGGCAGCAGUGGGGAAUAUUGGACAAUGGGGGAAACCCUGAUCCAGCAAUGCCGCGUGAGUGACGAAGGCCUUCGGGUUGUAAAACUCUUUUAUCAGGGAAGAUAAUGACGGUACCUGAUGAAUAAGCUCCGGCUAACUUCGUGCCAGCAGCCGCGGUAAUACGAAGGGGGCUAGCGUUGUUCGGAAUAACUGGGCGUAAAGGGCGCGUAGGCGGUUUGGUAAGUUUGAUGUGAAAGCCCUGGGCUCAACCCGGGAAUUGCAUUGGAUACUGCUAGACUA
rnacentral:rRNA from 1 species